GGGGAAUUUUCCGCAAUGGGCGAAAGCCUGACGGAGCAAUACCGCGUGAGGGAGGAAGGCUCUUGGGUCGUAAACCUCUUUUGUCAGGGAAGAACACAAUGACGGUACCUGACGAAUCAGCAUCGGCUAACUCCGUGCCAGCAGCCGCGGUAAUACGGGGGAUGCAAGCGUUAUCCGGAAUUAUUGGGCGUAAAGCGUCCGCAGGUGGUUGUCCAAGUCUGCUGUCAAAGCAUGGGGCUUAACUCCAUAUAGGCAGUGGAAACUGGACGACUAGAGUACGGUAGGGGUCGCGGGAAUUCCCAGUGUAGCGGUGAAAUGCGUAGAUAUUGGGAAGAACACCAGUGGCGAAAGCGCGCGGCUGGACCUGUACCGACACUGAGGGACGAAAGCUAGGGGAGCGAAAGGGAUUAGAUACCCCUGUAGUCCUAGCUGUAAACGAUGGAUACUAGGUGUUGCUCGUAUCGACCCGGGCAGUGCCGUAGCUAACGCGUUAAGUAUCCCGCCUGGGGAGUACGCACGCAAGUGUGAAACUCAAAGGAAUUGACGGGGGCCCGCACAAGCGGUGGAGUAUGUGGUUUAAUUCGAUGCAACGCGAAGAACCUUACCAGGACUUGACAUGUCGCGAAUCUCGGUGAAAGCUGAGAGUGCCUUCGGGAGCGCGAACACAGGUGGUGCAUGGCUGUCGUCAGCUCGUGUCGUGAGAUGUUGGGUUAAGUCCCGCAACGAGCGCAACCCUCGUUUUUAGUUGCCAUCAUUCAGUUGGGCACUCUAGAGAGACUGCCGGUGACAAACCGGAGGAAGGUGGGGAUGACGUCAAGUCAUCAUGCCCCUUACGUCCUGGGCUACACACGUACUACAAUGCUAGGGACAAAGGGUCGCAAGCUCGCGGGAGCAAGCUAAUCCCAUAAACCCUGGCUCAGUUCAGAUUGCAGGCUGCAACUCGCCUGCAUGAAGGCGGAAUCGCUAGUAAUCGCAGGUCAGCAUACUGCGGUGAAUACGUUCCCGGGCCUUGUACACACCGCCCGUCACACCAUGGAAGUUGGUCACGCCCGAAGUCAUUACUUCAACCGUUCGCGGAGGAGGAUGCCGAAGGCAGGGCUGAUGACUGGGGUGAAGUCGUAACAAGGUAGCCGUACCGGAAGGUGUGGCUGGAUCACCUCCU
rnacentral:rRNA from 1 species